GACACAGCCUGGAGAGAGCGGCGUGUCGCUGCGACUGGACUGUGUGUGUGUGACUGAACCCCGUUCGCGCCUCUCUAUAAACGUAAGCUUCCGGGGGGCAGGUGCGGAGACCUCCUCGUCUCGUGGUACCCAAGACAAGCAUCACGGCAUCAUGCCAUGAGGGGCAGACAUCACCUGGGCCCCAGACGGACAAGCAACAGCAGCACCUGACUCGAUUCUUCAAAACACCCCUCAGCUCUGCGAUGGGACCCUUACGAUUCAAUCCAAAAAGACUCAGCAAAGUCGAGGUGGAGAAAAGAUCGUGUUUUUGCUGGAAAAUCAGAGCAAGGUAGAAGGAAUUGCAUCAGAUCUUGGUCCCAGCUGACCUCUUCCCUGACCCAGGGAAGAGGGCCAGGCCAGAGGACA